UUUUCACCGGCGGGCCGAGUACGGAUAAUUUAUACUAUUACUCUUACCCGCCCGUUUAGACCUGGUACUCGUGAACCUACGGGUAUCGGUACCACUUUGCCAGUUCUACUCCCUGCCACUAACUCAAAAAUCCCCAAUUCCCUAUAUAUUUAUUCAAACCCUAACCACCGCCACCAAAUGCCAAUCUCAACGCGCUACUCAAAUGGCGUCCAAAACCUUCUUCUUCUGAAACGGUUACGAAAACCAAAAUCUCAUCUCUGUUCACAAAUUCAUGUAAAGUGACAACUACUGCACAAAAAGAUUCAGUACAUAGCGUUGAAGAGGAAGAGAGGCUUGAUCAAUUCCUUCAAAAAGAUUGUAAACAAGGUAACACGAGUGUUGCGAUUAGAUUGCAGGAAGAAAUGGUUGCUGGUAAUGGUGAAGGGGGUGUUAUUUGUGAGCCUAGUAUUUUUAGUAUUAUUGAUGGUCGAAAGAAUUGUUUGUGGAAAUGAAGGAUAAGGGAAAAACAUUUGGCUUAAUUCCAUUAUUCUUCAUUUCCAAAAACAAUUCUUUCUUAUCUAUUAAUCCCUCCUUACUAAGACCAAGGACAAUACUACCAUAAAAAUCAAUACUAGGCUUACAAAUAACACCCCUUUCACCAUUGUUGUGGGAGAUUUGGAGGAGGCUAACGUGAUCGAAUCUAGCCGAGCAGUUGAUGUGUGGUUUUGUAUUUGAUUUUAAUUGAUUUCAUGUGUGGUUUUGUAUUUGAUUUUAAUUGAUUUCAUGUGUGGUUUUGUAUUUGAUUUUAAUUUAUUUGAUGUGUGGUUUUGUAGCUGUGAUUAGGUUUUAGGUGUUCAGUUUUGUUUGUACUAAAGAAAAUUUAUAUCAAUGAUGAUAAAUGCAUAAUCCCAGCUCUAUGAGGCCUUUGUUAUUCAAAGUUCAGGGAAUAGACUGUUUCCAACAUUUAUCUGAGCUACAUAAAACUUUUUUAUUUGUACCAGUUUAAUGAGCUGUUUGUUUUUGUGAUUAUUUGAUGUGUUUCUGUGUCUGUGUAUUCUUUAUUUUGUGUUUGUUUAUCUGGGUUUGUUUCAUAUUUGUUUCCUGAGACGGAUCAAAAUAAUCAUGCUAGUGUAUAUCUGAUUGUUUUAUGACUGAAAGAUUUACUUUUUCCUGAGGGAACUUGAAUGAUUUGAGUGUUCCUUCAUGGGUUUAUUUGAAAUCUUGAAAAAGUUGUUCUUGUUUGCUCACAAUUGAGCUUGUUUCUUAGUUUUGUUUAUUUUGUGCUAUAGGUAUACUGUCGGACAAUGUGAAGAGAAUCUGAAAAAAUUGAAUGUAGGUUGUUACAUGAUUUUGUUCGUGAUUGAGUGUGAAAAGAAUUGAUAUUUCUAUUUCUUGUGAAGAUUUAUGUGCUUAUGUUGUUGAAUUUUUGCAUAAUCUCCACUGAAGGACUGUUCCCAGAGAUGUUUCAUUACUGACCAUGCUAAUUCUGAUAAUUAGAUGACUGAAUUCUUCUUUUGUUAUGUUCUGAGGGAACUAUUCUUCUCUUAUGUGAUUACAUUUUGUUCUUUUUUGAGUUUUGUUUAAUAUCAAGUAAGACAACAUUUUGUAAUGGAGGUGUUAUUAUUGAUUAAAUUUGUUGCAUAGUUGUGGCAAGCACUCUGACACUUAGUUGUGGAUAUUCCUGCAUUCACGUAUACAAUUUAUGAACUCUCAGCAAUAUCUCGGAAGUUGAAACAACCAUCAGAAUAGGUGUGGAUCUUGUCUCGGCCACCAGGCGAAAUAUCAGGUUCUUGAGGACUGUCAACGAGUCCCAGUGGCUUCAUGAGAGCGCAACUGUUGUUGAAGCCAUUUAGAGGAUGACAGACAUUUGAACUUUUUAUUAUAAUUUUAAUUAGAGUUAAUGGUUGCCGAACUUUUGAUCACUUUUAUUCUAUUUAGCGUUUAUAUUGGUAAUUAAGAAUUAAUUAGAGCUUUAAGUAUCUUGGUUUAUUCUUUGUUGAUAUUAAUUAAGAGUUAAUUAGAGCUUUUAAGAGUUUUAAGUAUGUUGGUUUGUUCUUUGUUGAUAUAGAAGCUCUCUCAGGAUACCGGAUUGAUUAGCAUUAAUAUUCAACUUCAUACGAAAUCAAAGCCUUCAUAGAAGCUCAUUUGAUUUUAAGCUUACAGUAACAAAUGCAUGGUUUAGUAAUUAAGAAAACAGGGGGCAAUGUCAUUGCCACUUGUCCUUUGUUUUUCUUGUUAUUUCCUCAGCAACCAAACACAAUCUUGCACUCAUUUAAUGAUAUAGAAGUUACCAAUAUUAUCUUUCGGGUCAGUUACAGACAAUACUGAGUCAAGGUUCUCAAAACUCAUUGGAAAACCAGCGACUUUCUAUGAACGAAACGAAGAGUAUGCCUUGAUGAGAUGCAAAGAAAUUUGGACCAACAGAUUCCCAGCUGAGCCUGUUGAGAAUAUCAAAACAGGUCAGUUUAGUUUAUGGUUUUUAAUAUAUGGCUUAUUUGGACCUUAGUAAUUGUAUUAAUAACAGUUUCGACUACUUAUCUGGUAUGAGUAUCAUCAGCCACCAUGUAUUUUAAACUUUGCCCUCCGUGCUUUUCUCUGAAUUUGUAUUUUCCAGAGAUUCAACAUCUAUGUGUAUUGAAUCUAAAU